AUGUGUUUCAGCUCUCCCCUUCAGGAUCUGCCUGUGGGUCAUGCCCUGCAAGUCCCCUACACAUUGCUCUGCAGUUAUCUGCUGCUCUGUAAGAGUGGAAUGGUAACUUCCAGUUUUCUUGUUAAGGAAAAGACAAAGUUUACCAUCACUUUCCAAACACAGAAGCGUUGUCUUGGCAGCAAUUGGGAAUACAGCUUUCUUUUUGCAGCAUGUGAUCAUCCAAAGAAAACAACGCAGAAAUCAGACACACAAAAGCCCGGUAAAAGUGACUUCAGGGAUGUGGAAGCUGCAGAAGAAAAUGAAGAACAUUCUAGCUUCAUCCCAGAGGUGCAGGCAUGCCAGCUGUGCUCAUCAAUAAUGUGAAGAAGACAUUGGUGAAAAAGGGCACGAGGAGUUGCUUCCAUUUCCUGCUUGCAACUAGAACAAUGCCAUAAAAUGACAUCAACUUGAUAGAUAGCGUCACAGUGGAGAUAAUGGUGUACAGAGAAGGGAUAGAGUUGGCUGUAGAGAAAUGAAGAGGGGAAAUUGUCCAUGAGAGAGAAGGUCAGGUGGUGAUGUGGGCAGAUGUGAGAGUGGGGGAGGCAGCUGCCAAACACAGCAAUUGUUUUCAGGCACAAGUCAUAUUCACAUAUUCAGUGGAAGAUGGUGGGUUUUUGAAAGGCUCUGCCACAAAAUGUGCAGAUAGGACUGCUGCAUUCAUCUUGUUCUCUUGAACUGGCAAACAUUUUGAGCUACUCAAGUUUAAGAAGGGUUUGGCAGUAGCUUGGAUGAUGACAACAGUGGAAAUCUCUCACUGGAGUAACAUUUUCUAAUUUAUAGCAAAAUAUGGUGCUUGGCAUUAUAGCAUUCUUCACUUGUAUGUGAAAAUUUCACUCUAGAAAAUGUACUUGAAUAGUAGAGAUCAUUGCAGGUUGUUUUUCUUAGUUUAGAAGGUUUGGAUAAAUGAAAUCCAUGAAAUAAGGUUGACAAAAUGAUUAUUCUUUUUCACAAUGGAAGAAUGAAAGUAUAUACUGGGGUUUCAUUGCCAGCCAUGUCUAGAUGCAACAAGGAGCAGUAAAGACAUGCCACGUGUGUGUUGGAGCUCAUGGGGAAAGUUGAAAACUGGACUGCCAUUGAGAUGUUUUGUUUUGCCACCUUUUUUCCACCGCUGAUGCUGAAAUAACUCCACUUCUGACAUCAAAACAACCGUGAAAAACCAUGAAAACGGCAUAGAACUGUGGCUGAAAUUUUAGAAACAACUACAUCUUUCUGUAAAUGCCAAUGAAUAUUUGUGGCAAUCUCAAAGCUGGGCUGCUAUUUUGGUUUGUUCACAAAAGCAAGCCAGCAGCUACUCUUCUUGUGUUUCUUUUGUGUGCAUCUGUAUGCUUAUGAAUGGAACUUCCAUGGUGUCACUCAGCACCGUCAAGAGUUCAUCCCCACUUUGUCCCAUGGAACUUAUCAGAUGAAAGUGACUAUUCCCUCCCCUACCUCAUUUCAAAGGAGACCUAUGUGACAGACCAGAUUAUCGAGCCCUCCUUUUACCAGUCCUUGUAUUAGCAUCAAAUAUUGUUUGACUACAUGGGAAAGAGCUGCUAUUCUGAGACUUUUGUAUCGCCAACUGAGACACCAUCAGUUGCUGGUUUCUUUGUGAGUUACACCUUCCCAAACCCCUUCUUCUGUACCAUCAGUUAGGCAAUGGUAUAACCCCACCAUGACUACAAGUCAUCACUGCUUGCAGCACGAGGAUAGCAACCCAAUGGGAGCAGUAUUAAAAUAAACUUAGUGGUUAUGGAUCUCGUAACA
rnacentral:lncRNA from 1 species